ACAGCCCCGUACACAAAAAUGCACAUGCUGUGAGCUCGAUGAGUAGGGCGGGACACGUGGUAUCCUGUCUGAAUAUGGGGGGACCAUCCUCCAAGGCUAAAUACUCCUGACUGACCGAUAGUGAACCAGUACCGUGAGGGAAAGGCGAAAAGAACCCCGGCGAGGGGAGUGAAAAAGAACCUGAAACCGUGUACGUACAAGCAGUGGGAGCACGCUUCGGCGUGUGACUGCGUACCUUUUGUAUAAUGGGUCAGCGACUUAUAUUCUGUAGCAAGGUUAACCGAAUAGGGGAGCCGAAGGGAAACCGAGUCUUAACUGGGCGUUAAGUUGCAGGGUAUAGACCCGAAACCCGGUGAUCUAGCCAUGGGCAGGUUGAAGGUUGGGUAACACUAACUGGAGGACCGAACCGACUAAUGUUGAAAAAUUAGCGGAUGACUUGUGGCUGGGGGUGAAAGGCCAAUCAAACCGGGAGAUAGCUGGUUCUCCCCGAAAGCUAUUUAGGUAGCGCCUCGUGAAUUCAUCUCCGGGGGUAGAGCACUGUUUCGGCAAGGGGGUCAUCCCGACUUACCAACCCGAUGCAAACUGCGAAUACCGGAGAAUGUUAUCACGGGAGACACACGGCGGGUGCUAACGUCCGUCGUGAAGAGGGAAACAACCCAGACCGCCAGCUAAGGUCCCAAAGUCAUGGUUAAGUGGGAAACGAUGUGGGAAGGCCCAGACAGCCAGGAUGUUGGCUUAGAAGCAGCCAUCAUUUAAAGAAAGCGUAAUAGCUCACUGGUCGAGUCGGCCUGCGCGGAAGAUGUAACGGGGCUAAACCAUGCACCGAAGCUGCGGCAGCGACACUGUGUGUUGUUGGGUAGGGGAGCGUUCUGUAAGCCUGCGAAGGUGGCCUGUGAGGGUUGCUGGAGGUAUCAGAAGUGCGAAUGCUGACAUAAGUAACGAUAAAGCGGGUGAAAAGCCCGCUCGCCGGAAGACCAAGGGUUCCUGUCCAACGUUAAUCGGGGCAGGGUGAGUCGACCCCUAAGGCGAGGCCGAAAGGCGUAGUCGAUGGGAAACAGGUUAAUAUUCCUGUACUUGGUGUUACUGCGAAGGGGGGACGGAGAAGGCUAUGUUGGCCGGGCGACGGUUGUCCCGGUUUAAGCGUGUAGGCUGGUUUU
rnacentral:rRNA from 1 species